AAAUGCUAACGGGAUACGGUGAGAUUCCGAACCGGUGGUGAAAGUCCACAAGCCAUAUUUAUUAUGGUUGAUUUGGUGAAAUUCCAAAACCGACAGUAUAGUCUGGAAGGGAGUUAGCAUUG
rnacentral:ncRNA from 2 species